AAACAGGAUCUGAGCCCUGUUUUCCCCAGGGACACAGAGGGACACGCUGGAAUGGCCCUUUAUUGCUCCCUGGUGGGAUCCAGGGUCUCUUGGUGGCUUCAGUAGGUGCUGAAGAUGGCCUGGAUGUGCUCCCCGGAGUGUGGUUUGUAGGUUCCGACCCCUGUGGCAGAGGGAUGUGUGAGGGUGGGACGUGGAGACCCCCAGCAUGACCCCCCACCUUCCCUGACUGCCCACCUUGAUCCAAAGGUUUCCCAGAGCUGAGGAACUGCCAGUAGGUCCUGUCAUUGUCACUGCCAGCCAGCCCGUGGAUGGAGACCACGAAGGGACCCCAGGACGUCUGCUCCGUCCUGAAGCUGCCGGGGAGCACCUCGAGCAGUGUGGAGUCCCCUGGGACCGUCACCGAGAUGCUGUAGUGCCAGGGGAUUCCCUGCAGGUUGUUGGUGAUGGAGUAGUGCACUGUGAUGUCCUGGGACUCCCGUGGGGUCUGGGAGGCUCCAGGUGGGCUCAUCAUACCUGUGGGAACCCUGCGUGUCCCCAGGCUUGGGCACAGAUCCGUGGGGGCACCGCAGUUCAGCGUGGCCGCAUCCAGGUAGGACGUGCCCACGAGGGCCGGGAGCACCUGGGCGAUGGCCAUGGGCAGCUCGAAGGUGUGGUUGGUCACCACGGCAAAGGCCUGGGCACAGUCCCAGUCCCGAGGGGCGUAGAAGUCCCUUGAGGCCUCCAGUGCCUGCGGAAGAGGUGGGAGGUGGUGUGGCCAAUCUGGGACCGGGACCGGGUGGCUGUGACGGCACGUUCCCCACCCCCGUACCUGCAGGGCCAGCCCCAUGCUGUAGAUGUUCCCGAUCAGGCCGUUCCUCUCCUCCUGCUCAUCCAGGAAGUCGUUGGUCACCGUCCAAACUGCCUCGUGGAGCAGAUCCCGCACCUCCGGGUCCUCCACGCUGUCGUGGGCGCACAGCAGGGCCAGCACCGCCACGGCGCGGGUGUCUGCGGGUCCCGGGGUCACUGCCGAGCCCCGGAGAGCCCCCCGGAGCGGGAAUGUGGGAGCAGAGGGAUCUCUUACCCACACCGAUGGGGCUGUUGGGGCUCAGCACCUCCUUGGCCAAGGCCACCGCUGGCCCCCGGUACCCGUCUGCCCUGGCCAGGCACAGGGCCGUGGUGUCCAGGCUCACGCUGAACAGGGUGGUUUUGGGAUGGCCCUUGUCCUCUGGAAAACAGAGCAGUGAGAUGAUGGGAUGCAGGGAGGUGGACACCCCCCAGGGCCCAGCGUACCCAGCUCGGCCAUCUCCUCAUCCGUUUUCUGCUGCAGGAUGGAGAUCAGGUCGAUGGUCUGUCCCAGGGCGUGGACCUGCCGGGGGUCCUGGCAGGACGAGAGGAGGGCGAGGACGUGCUGAGCCACCUGUCCUGAGGUCAUGGCUGUGGGGACAAGAGGACACCGGGAGCGUGGUGGGAUGGGACCUGUCCCCCCGGGAGCUGGCAGUGCCAAACCUGCGGAAUCUGAUCCCCCAGGACCAGGGACCCCCCUCAUUCCCUUCCCUACCUUUCUGGGCUCUCGUCACCACCUCCUCCUUGAUCUCCUGGAGCAGCAACUUGUAGCUGGGACUCUGGGUGUCCACCCCAAGCAGGCUCAUGGCCAGCAGGAUGCUGGGAUUCGGCACCUCUCCGGGCUUGAUGGAGCCCUCCAUGCUCUGGAGCAACCGGCAGACCAGGUCCUGCGGGGCCGCUGAAGGAGAGGGAAGGUCACCGGGAUCCCCCGGCCCAUCCACGGGCUCUCCGGAGUCUCCACCCUCUCCCACUCACCGCAGUGCUCCGUGGCCGUGCAGCCCAGCAGGGCCAGCAGGACCCCCGUGGCCAAAGCCAGGCCCAGCAUCCUGUCGGGGCGCGCUGAUCCGCUCGGGACGGCACAAUCCCGCGGGAAUUGGUCUCUCCGGGCGUCCUCGCUGCUUUUAACUGUUCCCAGGGACCUCCAGCCGCCCGUCCUCCCACGGUGCCAGCGGCUUAUCUGUGUGUCCAACUGUGCCCGGCCGGGGAGGGACAGGGAUUUUCCACCUGGGAUCACUGGGCACCGCUUGGGCCAGAUCCAUAUCCAUGAGGCUGUGAGGCUGGCUGGGGUUCCCAGCAGGAACCUCCUUCAGUCAUCCACCCAAGGUCCUGGAAGGCCCAGGAGGUCUGUGCUGGCUGGACUCUCUCCAGCUGUAUCCCACUCGGGCUUUCCAGGAAACUCCAGCCCUGUUGAUCUAACCUUGGUACCGGGAAAAACAGUGGGGAAGGACGUACUGGGCAGUACUGGGAAGCAAUCCAAGGAUUAUUCUAGCAUCAGGUGCGGGAAAACAGAGGGAAAUUCCUGUCUAACUGGUUUCUUAUCCCGCUACCAUAAGGUCACCCAGGUGAUGGGGAGGCACUGCACGUAAUUUUGGGGAUUUUAGAAGGAGUUUUGCUCCGGCCCCUUCACAGAAUCCUUCUGGAGAAGGUGUCCAGCUGUGGGAUGGGCAGGGACAGGGUGUGCUGGGCAAAGAACUGGCUGCUGUACUGGUUUCACUGGGAUAGGGGCCAUUUUAUUCCAGGUACUGGGUUUGGAUUCAGGCCAGGGAUGCUGUGGGUCACACAUGGACGAAUUGGUGUGUUGUCACCGAGGACUCUGCAGUGUCCCAUGGGAGAAUCCAUGUUUCCCAUGCUCUGCCAGCCAGGAGGUGACACCAUCAUCAUCCUCCUCACAACAUCAUCCCCGUGUCCUGCUUGGCCAACAAUCUUCCAUCUGCUCUGCUCCAGGGGGGCCUCCCGUGCCCCCCGGGAGCCCCUUUGUCCCCCUGAGCACUGGGGUGACCUGGGGCUGGGAUGUCACACGGGAGUCCUCCCCUGCAGGGCUGUGACAUUGCACAGCCACCCCCUGGCUCCCAGCAGGGUCCUGGCAGAUUCCCCUAAGAAGGGGAGGUGACAGCCCCAAAAUGCCUGAAAAUUCACGAGGGGGGUGUGUGUAAAACACUGCAGAGUUCCUCAUUUUUAUGUAUAUUGGGAAAUAAUAGUAUUUUAUUUCAAAAUCGAUUUCAGAAUAAACUCCCGUGUCUGGUGUGUUACAGACAGGACUUUAUUCCACAGGAAAGUCUGAACGUGGACCUGUAGGGUUUGGAAAUACAAACCAAACGUUUGUGUAUAGAAAUAAAACAAUAAAGGACUUGGAAA